rnacentral:lncRNA from 1 species
GGGGAGCUCUUGAACAACCAAUUAUCCCGGAGUAUAGAAGAAUUUCAAGACAAAAUAGAAGAAAUAACCUCCCAAGAAGUUAUAGAACUGGUUGAGGAGACAGUGAGUGGAUACAAGAAUCAAUCAAGAGUUGAUCUCACCUGUCCAACAAUGUUAGAUUCCCUCGAUGAAGACAAUGUGCAAGAUCAGUACGUUAUGGAUCUA